rnacentral:lncRNA from 10 species
AUGAGGUUCUUGCUAUGUUGCCUAGGCUGGUCUUGAACUUCUGGCCUCAAGAAAUCCUCCUCCUGAUCCUCCUACCUCAGCCUUCCAAAGUGUUGGGAUUACAGCACUGGCUAGAACUUCCAUCCCUGUGGUGAAUAAGAGUGAUGAAAGUGGACACCAUCGUAUUAUUGAAUUGAAGGGAUGAGGAAACCGUGGCAAAAACAGAUGAAAUAAGUCAUCUGAAGCCAUACAACCAAGAAAUUUCUGGCAAGAACUUCUGGCAGUCUCCUGUUUCCCAGAUGCCCGGCUCCUCACUGACGUGCACAUAACAGCAAAUCUAUAACAAUCCUCCUUCCAAUUACAUCAGGUGGUGGGGGGGGGGGCGCGAGCAGGAGGGCAUAAGAAGGUCAGUACCCUAGAAGGCAGCCUCAUUUACUCAUCCACUAAGAAAAUAAUGACUGAACACCUACCAGGUUCCAGGCACUUGGGAAAAGGCAGUGAGCAAGACUGAUGAAGGCCCCAGCCCGCAAAGCCUCAUAUUCAAAAGCUGGGACAGAGAUGAGAGAAAAGUAAAGAAAUAAACAAGACAUCCUGGAUGGCGAUAAAUGCCAUGAAGAUAAUAAAACAGGGUUAUGUGAUAGAAAAUGGCCAGAAAUGAGGAUAGCAGGUUUGAUGGAGGUCUUUUCAAGAGGACAUGCAAUCAGGACCCAAUCAUGCAAUGAUGUGUGGGAAGAACCUUCCCAUAGGCCGGAGGGAGGGAUGGGCUUGGUUUAUGUGACAAAGGCUAAGUGGCUGUAGCAGAGAGAACUAAGGGAAGAGAAGCAGAGGCUAGAUGAUGGUGAGCCUUAUAAUCGAUUCAAAGACAUUCCAAGUAAGUGCAAAAGGAGGCCAUCAGAGGGGCCCUUGUGGACAUUGCAAUACAAUGUUGAAGUCCAAAAACAAUAGUCUAUUCAUUGACCUACCCUUAUUUCCUAAACUCUAAAUAAUGCUCAAUAAUUUUUUUUUAACCAAUUUACAAAUGGUUUUUUUACUUGUGCCUUCGUUUUGUUUUUGUUUUUUGUUUUGUUUUGUUGUUAUACUUCUAGCGUACAAUGUGCAGGUUUGUUACAUACGUAUACAUGUGCCAUGUUGGUGUGCUGCACCCAUUAACUCAUGAUUUAUAUUAGGUAUAUCUCCUAAUGCUAUCCCUCCCCCCUCCCCCCACCCCACCAUAGGCCCCAGUAUGUGAUGUUCCCCACCCUGUGUCCAAGUGUUCUUAUUUUCACUUCCCACCUGUGAGUGAGAACAUGCGGUAUUUGGUUUUCUGCCCUUGUGAUAGUUUGCUCAGAAUGAUGGUUUCCAGCUUCAUCCAUGUCCCUACAAAGGACAUGAAUUCAUCCUUUUUAUGGCUGCAUAGUAUUCCAUGGUGUAUAUGUGCCACAUUUCCUUAAUCCAGUCUAUCAUUGAUGGACAUUUGGGUUGGUUCCCAGUCUUUGCUAUUGUGAAUAGUGCCGCAAUAAACAUACUUGUGCAUGUGUCUUUAUAGCAGCAUGAUU